GAUUGAACGCUGGCGGUAUGCUUAACACAUGCAAGUCGAACGGAAACGAUACUAGCUUGCUAGUAGGCGUCGAGUGGCGGACGGGUGAGUAACGCGUAGGAAUCUGCCUGAUAGUGGGGGAUAGCCCGAAGAAAUUCGGAUUAAUACCGCAUAAUCUAUUCGUAGUAAAGUGGGGGACUUUCGAGCCUCACGCUAUCAGAUGAGCUUGCGUAAGAUUAGCUAGUUGGUAGGGUAAAAGCCUACCAAGGCUACGAUCUUUAGCUGGUCUGAGAGGAUGAUCAGCCACAUCGGGACUGAGACACGGCCCGAACUCCUACGGGAGGCAGCAGUGGGGAAUAUUGGACAAUGGGCGCAACCCUGAUCCAGCAAUACCGCGUGUGUGAAGAAGGCCUGAGGGUUGUAAAGCACUUUCAAUUGUGAAGAAAAGUUAACGGUUAAUAACCGUUAGCCUUGACGUUAACUUUAGAAGAAGCACCGGCUAACUCCGUGCCAGCAGCCGCGGUAAUACGGAGGGUGCAAGCGUUAAUCGGAAUUACUGGGCGUAAAGCGUGCGUAGGCGGUUUAUUAAGUCAGAUGUGAAAGCCCCGGGCUUAACCUGGGAACUGCAUUUGAAACUGGUCAACUAGAGUAUGGUAGAGGAAAGUGGAAUUUCUGGUGUAGCGGUGAAAUGCGUAGAUAUCAGAAGGAACAUCAAUGGCGAAGGCAGCUUUCUGGACCAAUACUGACGCUGAGGUACGAAAGCGUGGGUAGCAAACAGGAUUAGAUACCCUGGUAGUCCACGCCGUAAACGAUGAUAACUAGCCGUUGGGGGGAUUUACCCUUUAGUGGCGAAGCUAACGCGUUAAGUUAUCCGCCUGGGGAGUACGGCCGCAAGGUUAAAACUCAAAGGAAUUGACGGGGACCCGCACAAGCGGUGGAGCAUGUGGUUUAAUUCGAUGCAACGCGAAGAACCUUACCUGGUCUUGACAUCCUGCGAACUUUCUAGAAAUAGAUUGGUGCCUUCGGGAACGCAGUGACAGGUGCUGCAUGGCUGUCGUCAGCUCGUGUCGUGAGAUGUUGGGUUAAGUCCCGUAACGAGCGCAACCCCUAUCCUUAUUUGCCAGCACGUCAUGGUGGGAACUAUAAGGAGACUGCCGGUGAUAAACCGGAGGAAGGCGGGGACGACGUCAAGUCAUCAUGGCCCUUACGACCAGGGCUACACACGUGCUACAAUGGGAAGGACAAAGAGCCGCGAAGCCGCGAGGUGUAGCUAAUCUCAGAAACCUUUUCGUAGUCCGGAUUGGAGUCUGCAACUCGACUCCAUGAAGUCGGAAUCGCUAGUAAUCGUAGAUCAGAAUGCUACGGUGAAUACGUUCCCGGGUCUUGUACUCACC
rnacentral:rRNA from 1 species